CGGGCUCUUCGGAGCUAGUGGCGGACGGGUGAGUAACGCGUGAGAAUCUGCCCUUUGGAGUGGGACAACGACUGGAAACGGUCGCUAACACCGCAUGAGCCGAGAGGUAAAAGUAUUUAUAGCCAAAGGAUGAGCUCGCGUCGGAUUAGCUAGUUGGUAGUGUAAUGGACUACCAAGGCGACGAUCCGUAGCUGGUCUGAGAGGAUGAUCAGCCACACUGGGACUGAGACACGGCCCAGACUCCUACGGGAGGCAGCAGUGGGGAAUUUUCCGCAAUGGGCGCAAGCCUGACGGAGCAAGACCGCGUGGGGGAGGAAGGUCUGUGGAUUGUAAACCCCUUUUGACUGGGAAGAACACAAUGACGGUACCAGUCGAAUCAGCCUCGGCUAACUCCGUGCCAGCAGCCGCGGUAAUACGGAGGAGGCAAGCGUUAUCCGGAUUUAUUGGGCGUAAAGCGUCCGCAGGUGGUUUAUCAAGUCUGCUGUCAAAGCACGGAGCUUAACUUCGUAUCGGCAGUGGAAACUGAUGAACUUGAGUGUGAUAGGGGCAGAGGGAAUUCCCAGUGUAGCGGUGAAAUGCGUAGAGAUUGGGAAGAACACCGGUGGCGAAAGCGCUCUGCUGGGUCAUAACUGACACUGAGGGACGAAAGCUAGGGGAGCGA
rnacentral:rRNA from 1 species